AAUGAACGCUGGCGGCAGGCCUAAAACAUGCAAGUCGAACGCCUGUAGCAAUACAGGAGUGGCGCACGGGUGCGUAACACGUGGGAAUAUGCCUAUUGGUACGGAACAGCUCCGGGAAACUGGAAUUAAUACCGUAUGGUCCCUUCGGGGUAAAGAUUUAUCGCCAAUAGAUUAGCCCGCGGUGGAUUAGCUAGUUGGUAGGGUAAUGGCCUACCAAGGCGACGAUCCACAGCUGGUCUGAGAGGACGAUCAGCCACACUGGGACUGAGACACGGCCCAGACUCCUACGGGAGGCAGCAGUUAGGAAUAUUGGACAAUGGGCGCAAGCCUGAUCCAGCCAUGCCGCGUGAGUGAUGAAGGCCUUCGGGUUGUAAAACUCUUUAGCCGAUGAAUAUAAUGACUGUAGUCGGAAAAUAAGCCCCGGCUAACUUCGUGCCAGCCGCCGCGGUAA
rnacentral:rRNA from 1 species